rnacentral:rRNA from 1 species
GUAAACGGCGGCCGUAACUAUAACGGUCCUAAGGUAGCGAAAUUCCUUGUCGGGUAAGUUCCGACCUGCACGAAUGGCGUAAUGAUGGCCAGGCUGUCUCCACCCGAGACUCAGUGAAAUUGAACUCGCUGUGAAGAUGCAGUGUACCCGCGGCAAGACGGAAAGACCCCGUGAACCUUUACUAUAGCUUGACACUGAACACUGGUCCUUGAUGUGUAGGAUAGGUGGGAGGCUUUGAAGCGUGGACGCCAGUCUGCGUGGAGCCGCCCUUGAAAUACCACCCUUUAAUGGCUGGUGUUCUAACGUAGACCCGUAAUCCGGGUUGCGGACAGUGUCUGGUGGGUAGUUUGACUGGGGCGGUCUCCUCCCAAAGAGUAACGGAGGAGCACGAAGGUUGGCUAAUCCUGGUCGGACAUCAGGAGGUUAGUGCAAUGGCAUAAGCCAGCUUGACUGCGAGCGUGACGGCGCGAGCAGGUGCGAAAGCAGGUCAUAGUGAUCCGGUGGUUCUGAAUGGAAGGGCCAUCGCUCAACGGAUAAAAGGUACUCCGGGGAUAACAGGCUGAUACCGCCCAAGAGUUCAUAUCGACGGCGGUGUUUGGCACCUCGAUGUCGGCUCAUCACAUCCUGGGGCUGAAGUAGGUCCCAAGGGUAUGGCUGUUCGCCAUUUAAAGUGGUACGCGAGCUGGGUUUAGAACGUCGUGAGACAGUUCGGUCCCUAUCUGCCGUGGGCGCUGGAGAAUUGAGGGGGGCUGCUCCUAGUACGAGAGGACCGGAGUGGACGCAUCACUGGUGUUCGGGUUGUCAUGCCAAUGGCACUGCCCGGUAGCUAAAUGCGGAAGAGAUAAGUGCUGAAAGCAUCUAAGCACGAAACUUGCCCCGAGAUGAGUUCUCCCUGAGACUUUAAGUCUCCUGAAGGAACGUUGAAGACGACGACGUUGAUAGGUCGGGUGUGUAAGCGCAGCGAUGCGUUGAGCUAACCGAUACUAAUGAACCGUGAGGCUUAACCUU